UAUAGGAGUUUUUAAACUGGCUCAGGAUGAACGCUGGCGGCGUGCCUAACACAUGCAAGUCGAGCGAUCUCUUCGGAGAGAGCGGCGGACGGGUGAGUAACGCGUGGGUAACCUGCCCUGUACACACGGAUAACAUACCGAAAGGUAUACUAAUACGGGAUAACAUAUGAAAGUCGCAUGGCUUUUGUAUCAAAGCUCCGGCGGUACAGGAUGGACCCGCGUCUGAUUAGCUAGUUGGUAAGGUAAUGGCUUACCAAGGCAACGAUCAGUAGCCGACCUGAGAGGGUGAUCGGCCACACUGGAACUGAGACACGGUCCAGACUCCUACGGGAGGCAGCAGUGGGGAAUAUUGCACAAUGGGCGAAAGCCUGAUGCAGCAACGCCGCGUGAGCGAUGAAGGCCUUCGGGUCGUAAAGCUCUGUCCUCAAGGAAGAUAAUGACGGUACUUGAGGAGGAAGCCCCGGCUAACUACGUGCCAGCAGCCGCGGUAAUACGUAGGGGGCUAGCGUUAUCCGGAAUUACUGGGCGUAAAGGGUGCGUAGGUGGUUUUUUAAGUCAGAAGUGAAAGGCUACGGCUCAACCGUAGUAAGCUUUUGAAACUAGAGAACUUGAGUGCAGGAGAGGAGAGUAGAAUUCCUAGUGUAGCGGUGAAAUGCGUAGAUAUUAGGAGGAAUACCAGUAGCGAAGGCGGCUCUCUGGACUGUAACUGACACUGAGGCACGAAAGCGUGGGGAGCAAACAGGAUUAGAUACCCUGGUAGUCCACGCCGUAAACGAUGAGUACUAGGUGUCGGGGGUUACCCCCCUCGGUGCCGCAGCUAACGCAUUAAGACUCCGCCUGCUU
rnacentral:rRNA from 1 species